rnacentral:rRNA from 1 species
UACGGGGGGGGCAAGCGUUGUUCGGAAUUACUGGGCGUAAAGGGUUCGUAGGUGGCUCGCUAAGUCAGACGUGAAAUCCCUCAGCUUAACUGGGGAACUGCGUCUGAGACUGGCAAGCUUGAGUGCAGGAGAGGAACGCGGAAUUCCAGGUGUAGCGGUGAGAUGCGUAGAUAUCUGGAGGAACACCGGUGGCGAAGGCGGCGUUCUGGACUGCAACUGACACUGAGGAACGAAAGCCAGGGGAGCAAACGGG